GAGCAUCGAUGGUGUCGAACACCCCGUCAUGUACCUGAGCCGGAAACUGCUGGACCGGGAGACCAGAUACGCAGCGGUCGAGCGGGAGGCCUUGGCCAUAAAGUGGGCGGUAAAGUAUCUGAGAAAAGACGAAGCCACGUCGCCAUAAAGCCCGGAGCACGUGACGGUCUUCACUUCCGGGGUCCUUUCUUCCCUCUGGUCCCCCAAAGAUGACAUCAACCUCCCACAAUCCAUCACGCCUUCCCAGCAGCCAUCACGUUUGAUUUCCGGUCCUUCCCGAUAUAUUGUCCCCCUAAACCCGCCAUCUUUGUCUUAUAGUUUUGCUGUUUUGUAUCAAACAAAGACCUAUUUCUGUUACAGUACAAGGGGUACAAACUCUCCAAAUCUU